rnacentral:rRNA from 1 species
AGUGAACGCUGGCGGCGUGCUUAACACAUGCAAGUCGAACGAGAAACGGAUUUAGCUUGCUAAAUUGCAGUCUAAGUGGCGCACGGGUGAGUAAUGUAUAGAUAAUAUGCCUUUUACUAAGGGAUAACAGUUGGAACCGGCUGCUAAUACCUUAUAUGCCUUUAAUACAUAAGUAUGCAAGGGAAAGAUUUAUUGGUAAAAGAUUAGUCUGUAUUGUAUCAGUUAGUUGGUGAGGUAAUGGCUCACCAAGACUAUGACGCAUAACUGGUUUGAGAGGAUGAUCAGUCACACUGGAACUGAGACACGGUCCAGACUCCUACGGGAGGCAGCAGUGGGGAAUAUUGCACAAUGGGGGAAACCCUGAUGCAGCAACGCCGCGUGGAGGAUGACACAUUUCGGUGCGUAAACUCCUUUUAUAUAGGAAGAUAAUGACGGUACUAUAUGAAUAAGCACCGGCUAACUCCGUGCCAGCAGCCGCCGUAA